AGCGUAGACGGAUGGACAAGUCUGAUGUGAAAGGCUGGGGCUCAACCCCGGGACUGCAUUGGAAACUGCCCGUCUUGAGUGCCGGAGAGGUAAGCGGAAUUCCUAGUGUAGCGGUGAAAUGCGUAGAUAUUAGGAGGAACACCAGUGGCGAAGGCGGCUUACUGGACGGUAACUGACGCUGAGGAGCGAAAGCGUGGGGAGCGAACA
rnacentral:rRNA from 1 species